ACUAACUAGGUUAACGACUUGACGGCUUUACUCCUUUGCAAGCUUCAAGCCUUUGAUGCUGUGCUCUGAUAGAAGACUCUUCAACUGCUUAAACCUCCCAAAACCCUAAUAACAAAUUACCUCCAAAGACCUUUUGGGAGUUCAAAAAUGAAAAACCUCAAGCUUUACUCUGAAAAAACUCUGAAUCUGGACUUACAAUCAAACCAAGAAGUUCUGCUCUUCUCUACUCUCGAUAUCGAUCGUAAUCGCUUGUUUUUCGCUUCUUCGGCUAAUUUCAUAUACUCUACUCAGCUUUCUUCUUUCCAUAAUGAAAAUGCGUGGAGAAAAACUUCACUGCCUGCGGAAAUUCAUCCUAUUGAUUUGGAGGAUGGAGACUUCAUUACUUCAUUUGAUUAUCUUAUGGAGAAGGAGGCACUGAUAGUGGGGACUUGUAAUGGUGUUCUGUUGCUGUAUAAUGUGGAUGAUAAUGCUAUGGAAGUUGUUGGUAAAGUGGAAGGUGGUGUCCAGUGCAUUGCCCCUAGUCCGGAUGGCGACCUGCUUGGAAUUGUUUCUGGGUUGGGGCAGAUACUAGUGAUGACUCAUGAUUGGGAUUUGUUGUAUGAAAAUGCAUUGGAGGAGGAUCAGCCUGAUGGUGGUGUUGACGUAAGUGAACCAACUUUGUCUUCCACAAAUACGUCAAUAAGUUCUGUAUCCUGGCGUGGUGACGGGAAAUACUUUGUGACACUGAGUCAGUUGAGCAACUGUUCGUCCUUGCAAAAGAGGCUUAGGGUUUGGGAGCGAGAGUCAGGUGCAUUGCAUGCUACUUCAGACUCAAAGGCAUUCAUGGGAGCAGUUUUAGAAUGGAUGCCAAGUGGAGCAAAAAUUGCUGCUGUCUAUGACAGAAGAGCUGAGAAUGAGUGUCCAGAAAUAGUUUUUUAUGAGAGAAAUGGACUAGUUAGAAGCUCUUUUAGAAUUAACGCACCAGUGGACGCAACAGUAGAAUUGCUUAAGUGGAAUUGUAGUUCAGAUCUUCUUGCAUCUGUUGUCAGAUGUGAUAAAUAUGACACUGUUAAGGUUUGGUUUUUCAGCAACAAUCAUUGGUAUUUAAAACAGGAAAUUAGAUACCCAAGGCAGGAUGGAGUAAGGUUCAUGUGGGAUCCAAUAAAGCCACUGGAGUUGAUUUGUUGGACUCUUGAGGGGCAGAUUACAGUUUACAACUUUAGUUGGAUUACUGCUGUGACAGAUAACUCAAUUGCGUUGGUCGUUGAUGAAUCCAAGAUACUUGUAACUCCACUUUCUUUGUCACUAAUGCCACCCCCUCUGCAUCUAUUCAGCCUGAAAUUUCCAAGUGCUGUACGAGAUGUGGCUUCAUAUUUCAAGAAUUCUAAGAACUUUGUGGCUGCAUUUCUAUCAGAUGGUGGUUUCUGUGUUGUAGAACUUCCUCAAUCUGAUACAUGGGAGGAACUUGAAGGCAAAGAAAUUCAUGUUGAAGCUUGCAUUUCAGAGACAGUUUUUGGAACCCUGGCACAUCUUACAUGGUUGGAUUCACAUCUACUUCUUGCCGUUUCCCACUAUGGUUUCACUCAUAGUAAUUACAUUUCCCAGAGAUUGUUGGGUGAGGAUGGACGCCAUGGAUUCUAUUUGCAGGAAAUUGAAAUUGCAUGUUUGGAGGAUCAUGUUCCAGGUUCGGUAACAAGCUCAGGGUGGCAUGCAAAGGUUUCUCAUAUUAACUAUUUGGAACAAGAGAUAAUUGGCAUUGCUCCUAAUCCUGCUAAAAAGUGCUCAGCUUUUGUUCAGUUUGAUGGUGGAAAAAUUAGUGAGUACACAUCAGCAUUAGGCUUGGCCAUUAUUGGAGGAACUACAGAAAAUGAAGUUAUGAGUUUUUCAUCAUCUUGCCCUUGGAUGAGUGUGGUUCUAGUUGGUAACAGUGGGCCAUUAAAGCAUUUGCUUUUUGGACUUGAUGACAUCGGUAGGCUCCAUUUUGGUGGGAAAAUACUAUGUAACAACUGUAGUAGUUUCUCAUUUUACUCAAAUCUGGUUGACCAAGUAAUCACACAUUUGAUUCUUGCAACCAAACAGGAAUUCCUCUUAAUUGUCGAUAUUGAUGACAUACUGCAUGGCGAAGUAGAGUCAAAAUAUGAGAAUUUUGUUCACACUGGUAACAGAAGAAAAGAAGAAAAUAUGAACUUCAUACAUAUAUGGGAAAGAGGUGCCAAAAUUAUUGGUGUCCUGCAUGGUGAUGAUGCUGCUGUCAUAAUUCAAACAACUCGUGGAAAUCUAGAAUGCAUUUAUCCCAGAAAAUUGGUCUUGGCUUCUAUUGUCAAUGCUUUGAUCCAAGUGCGUUUUAGAGAUGCACUACUCAUGGUUAGACGGCAUAGAAUAGAUUUCAAUAUCAUUGUUGACCAUUGUGGUUGGCAAGCAUUUCUUCGGUUAGCCUCAGAAUUUGUCAAACAGGUUAACAAUUUGAGCUACAUAACUGAGUUUGUCUGUUCCAUUAAGAAUGAAAACAUGAUGGAGAAACUGUACAAAAUUUACGUCUCUUUGCCUAGCCAUAAACAGGCUGAAGUUGUUCAAGCCCAAGAUUUCAGAGGUUUUGAUGCUAAUAACAAGGUUUAUUCUGUCCUGCUCGCCAUAAGGAAGGCUCUUGAGGAACAGGUGCCCGAAAGUCCUGCAAGGGAGCUCUGUAUUUUGACCACUUUAGCCCAUAGUGAUCCACCUGCUCUUGAAGAGGCUUUAAAGAGAAUAAAGGGGAUACGUGAACUGGAAUUAUUAGGGUCUAAUGAUCCCGGGAGAAUAUCCUACCCUUCUGCUGAAGAAGCUUUGAAGCAUCUGUUGUGGUUAUCUGACUCUGAGGCUGUAUUUGAAGCUGCCUUGGGCCUUUAUGAUUUGCACCUUGCAGCUAUCGUAGCUCUGAACUCUCAACGAGACCCAAAGGAAUUUCUUCCUUAUCUACAAGAACUAGAAUGCAUGCCAAGUCUCAUAAUGCGCUAUAAUAUUGACCUUAGGUUGCAUAGGUUUGAGAAUGCUCUCAAACACAUUAUUUCAGCUGGUGAUGCUUAUUAUUCAGAUUGUAUGAAUCUCUUACAGAAAAAUCCUCAACUCUUUCCACUGGGACUUCAACUGAUCACUGAUCCUGCCAAGAGAAUGCAGGUCCUUGAGGCAUGGGGCGAUCAUCUUAGUGAUAAAAAAUGCUUUGAGGAUGCUGCUACAACUUAUCUUUGUUGUUCAAGUUUGGAAAAGGCCUUGAAGGCAUACCGUGCUUGUGGUCAUUGGAGUGGGGUUCUUACAGUUGCUGGGCUUCUUAAACUGGAAAAAGAUGCUGUAAUGCAACUUGCUCAUGAGCUCUGUGAAGAACUCCAAGCACUAGGUAAACCAGGGGAAGCUGCCAAAAUUGCUCUCGAGUAUUGUGGAGAUGUUAAUGGUGGGAUAAGUUUGUUAAUUAGUGCGAGGGACUGGGAGGAAGCUUUGAGGGUUGCUUUUAAGUACAUGCAAGAAGAUCUAAUCUCAGAUGUGAAUAAUGCAUCUUUAGAAGGUGCAAAUGCUUUAAUUGGUGAAUAUGAGGAAGGUUUGGAGAAAGUGGGAAAGUACUUGACUCGCUAUUUAGCUGUCCGACAGAGAAGGUUACUGCUUGCAGCAAAGCUUCAGUUGGAGGAUCGCCCAGUGAAUGAGCUGGAGGAUGACACUGCUUCAGAAGCAAGCAGUAACUUUAGCGGAAUGAGUGCCUACACUACAGGGUAUUUCUCUAUAUUUUGUGAGACUUACUAUUGGUCAUGUAAAACAUACACACAAAGUUGCUAUAUUUUUCAUUCUCACAAAUAUCCUGAGAUCACUAUUGCUAAGUUUUUUUUAUGAAUAAUUAAACACUUAAUUUGUAGUAUUGGUGGGAUAACAUUAUUCUCGUUAUAACUUUGUUACUUGAUAUGUGUUAUUCUUUGUUUAGUCUGUUUAGUAAUUUCUGCCUGGUUUUUGCCAGCUAUUUUCUCCUCCAGCUUUGUCUUAUCAUUUUUCAUCAUCUUAUUUUGCUCGUCUUUUUGUUUAGUCCUCUGUUCUUUAUUAUAAUUGAUUUUUCAAGUCACAAUUUUUUGGCCUCCACCAAAAUAAAAUUAAUAGAAUACCAAUAUGAUAUAACAAGCACAAAAGUGGUGUCACAAUCCAAUCUACAGUGCUUCAAGUGAUUGGAUGUGUCAUGAACAGGACAACAAGGGUGGGCUCUGCUGCUUCAGUUAGCUCAAGUGUUACUAGUAAGGCCAGAGACUCAAGGCGUCAAAGAAAUAGAGGAAAAAUUCGCCCUGGGAGUCCUGGAGAGGAAAUAGCUCUGGUGGAGCAUUUGAACGGCAUGUGUCUAACGGAUGGAGCAAAGCAUGAGCUUAGAUCCUUAUUGAUUUCCCUUUUGAUGCUUGGUGAAGAGGACAUUGCAAGAAAGCUACAACGUGUUGCAGAGAGUUUUCAACUGUCUCAAAUUGCAGCAGUCAAACUAGCUGAAGAUACAAUAUCUACUGAUAUCAUAAAUGACCAGGCACAUACUCUGGAGCACUACAUACAGAAAACAAGAGCUGAUCCACAAAAUUUGGAGGCUUUAUCUUGGCGGUCUAAAGUUUUUCUUUCUCCUUAAAAGUUAUUUGGCUGCAGUAAAGUUGCAAAUGCUGUUUCUAAAUGUUCGCUGCCGAAGCAUUGGUUAUCAUCAACAAGAACAAAGAUAUUAUUUUCCGGAAUGUUGAGUCAAAGCAGCAAGAAGGAUUCUUCCAAAGAAGCUGUCACUUGGCUUUUUGAAUCAGCUGCUUCACAUUUUUUUAUGUAGCAUUAAUAUUUAAGCCCUUUCACCUUCUCCCUUCUUGUUUUUCCUUUUGUUUUCGAGCACCCAUCUGAACUAUUCCUUCGUGGUUGAGAUAGAAACAGUUUCAUUGUUAAUGUUUAACAUAUACAAGUCAGUUUCAUUUCUUGGUGCAAAUGAUUUGAUCAUGGUUUCAACUUUGCAUGAUCUGAUGCAUAGCGAAAAGGAUGCUUGUCUGCUUUGAGAGAACACAUUCGUCUUAAGUAUUUUUUUGGCAGAAAGAAAAUGAUAAAAUUUGUCUUGAUGGCAUUAAUAAUGAGCAUCUAUCAUGCAUACUAUCUAAAAUAUGAUUCUUUAUCCUACAACAUGGCCAUGCCCCAGAUGGUAUGGCUGCAAAGCUUCAUAAAGGACGGGUACUCUGCAAUGAAGUUGUUGGCAGCUUCAAGUGUUGGAGCAGUAACGAAAGAUGAAGCAGCCCUUGUAGCUUCCUUGCCGUCACACUUAUGGUGCUCCAAAUUGAAUUCCAUCUUCUUGUUCUUCUUCUUCCAUACCAAGCCCUAUCACUUCAAAGGCAUCACUGGCAUGGUCUGCGUCUAAUACUUAAUACAGAUGAGCACAUGGAAAUGACAAUAUUCAACAUAUCUAAAAAAUACAAUAUGUCCGUGCUCAAGAGAGUGAAGCUCGGCAAAUUCUUUCCAACCCUUUUCGAACCAAGUAUCUCCCUCAUUGUCCAACAACUCAGCUUCCCAUGCAGCACCACUUGGGACACAAGGGUUGCUGGACGGGAUAGACAAUUUCCAUGUUGUUUAACAAACUUCACUGCAACCAUCUUCUUUUAUUGAAAGUAUUAACUUAAACGGAUCCAAAGACUAGCAUGAAUGGCAUUGGAGAGAGCUUUAUCACAUCAGUCAAGUUCAACAGCCAAAAAAGGAAUAACAGCACAAUCCCUCUUCAUUUUGAGCACAGAAAUUGGUUCUAAGAUGAGAUUUCAACUUCUGCUCGCAGAGUGUCAAACAAGCAAACUUUCCAAAUGGAACAGUUGUAAAGGAAACACUGAGCAUUUACAAUUGCUGUCAGGUUUAGAAGAAGCAAUUAAUUUGGAACAGCAAUACUGCUGCCUCUGCUCUUGCAAGCCCAGUGAAAUUAGUACCACCAACUACAGUUUCAUUAAUUCACAGAGGGACAGAGAGAUGCAUUGAUUUUGAUAUCAACCAUUAAAGCCACCUGAGUCCUGACCAAGCCAAGGAAUUCUUCCUAUGUUGAGUUCCCAGUUGAGAGUGAUGGCAGUAGCCACCAGCUGGCGUUUCUACAAAUGACAUGAACAAUCUACAAGCUAAAGGCAUGAACUUUAGAAACUCAAGAAGAUCAAUGGUCAAGCACACAUAUGAAUGAAUUAAGUUGAUCUGAUAACCUUAAGACAUUACCUCUAAUUUACUACACAAUGUACAAUUUUUCUUUAUUGAACAACACAGUACAAAUAAAAACAACAAAAAGUUCUAAGAAUAUAGUAAUCUCGACGUCUAACUGUUAUAAAAUGCUUCAAAAAAAAAAAAAAAAGGUGAUUGUGCAAUUGUCAAUUGACACAUCUAAAAAUGGAUACAUUCAACACAUUCCUCUUAAUCAGCUCAAAGACACAAACAUCUCCAACUUCUAGAGCAUUUUCCCUUGAAAAUACACGCCAACCAGCAGAAAGAACAGCUGGACCUUUACCUGAAGGGCAGAUCAACUUCACAGGCCACAUUCUAUCCGCAAUUUGAAGCAAUAUAUUCUGUGUUUUACGCUCAAAAUGGCUUAAGAAAAAGCUUGGUAGCACAACCACAUAGCUGUGCACCAAAUGAUAUUGCUUCAGCACAACGUUGAAAGAUGGAUACUUUGCUAUGAACUUGUUGGCAGCGUCAAGAGCUUGAGAAGGAAUUGGACAUGAAGUUGGCGUUCCCACCUUCCUAUGCUCAUUCUUUUUGCACCUUGAUUGCAUGAGCUUCCGAGAUUGAGCACAUAGGAAUGUUGAUUUCUCCCCCAUUUUCUUGCAUUGUGACAGAUCAUCUAAUGCUUCAACAGGGGUGUCAUCUUCAUUUUCUUCAAUCUUGUUAUCUUGGAGUUCAUCAUGAUCAGGAUUUGCAUUGUAGAUGUUAUUACAUGGGUACUCAAUCUCUGAAGCACUCUUGUUGAAUAUGAGUACAUGAAAUUGGCAAUCUCCCUCAUAUUUAAAAACAAGAAAGUUUCCAUGCUCCAAAGAGUAAUAAUUCGAGAAAUCUUGCCAACCUUGUCCCAACCAAACAUCGCCAUCGCACUUCAACAACUCUACUCGCCAGAUAGCACCACUAGGAACACAAAGGAUUACCGGACUUGACAAACCAUUUCCAUAUUUUCUCACAAACUUUCUUGGAAUACCAAGUUUUCCCUGGCGGAUAGUACUGUCAAGAAUUAUCUUAAAAAAGUGGGGUGCAGUUUCCAUAAUGGUCAAGCUCUCCGCUUCUAAAAAUCGUCUACAGCUUGGUGUAACUAGAAUUAUGGGGCGAUCAGACGAAACUGUAAUGAAACAAGAUAGAC
rnacentral:misc_RNA from 1 species